rnacentral:lncRNA from 1 species
GUAGAUUAUACUCUCAUUAUUGUUAGACUGUUUAACCCAACACUCUUAACCUUUCAUGUUAGGCUGACUGAAACUAAUGACUGGUCCCCAGCUGAGCUUAGCUGUGGUGUGAUGAAAGGGUGGGUAAAAUUGGUUACUCCUGUUUGUGCUCUGAAAUGAUGCAUCUCCUCAUUAGGAAAAGGUUUUGGGUGCUGUUCUUGUUUGGGUGUCUAGCUGCUAAGAAAACUGCCUCAAAUAUACAGUGGUUUGUAAACAUGGACUGGCAGAUGCAUUCAGUUAAAAUCUAAUUCCAGGCUUGUGGUUUACUGUUGAAAUGCUUUCUUCCAUCUAGCAGCACCACUGAGCUCUCAUCCAAAGCGAAGCUGAGCCAGCUGUCUGUCUUCCAGGUGAAGUUCGGUCUUCUGGUGAGUGGUGUAUCCAACUCUUGCAGGAAUGGUUGUAAAAAUUAGUUGCUCAGUUUUAAGUUCUUUUCUGUGAUUGAGGGCAUGAACUAUGCAAAUGUUCAUGGCAUUCAUCCAUGAUGAGCUCAGUAACACUAGCCAGAGGGACACAGGGGCUGUGUGAUGAGUUUAGAAAGAUAUGUGCCUGGGAACAGGCGAAAGCUGCUCAGGGUAUUUGUGUCCCAACAUCCUGGGUCCAUUACCUCCUGCGUUGUGUGAUUCCUCAGAUGCAGUUGCUCCUUAAGGUUUCAGAAAUGGAACAGAAACAACAAUAUCAUUCUGGUGUAUCGCUGCAAAGCUUACAGAUGCGUGUUGAACAAAAGUCUGAACAUGGAGCCAUGGCUGUAUGA